GUGGAUUAGAUACCCGAGUAGUCCACGCCGUAAACGAUGAGUGCUAGGUGCUGCGGGUAUUGACCCCUGCGGUGCCGUAGCUAACGCGUUAAGCACUCCGCCUGGGGAGUACGGCCGCAAGGCUAAAACUCAAAGGAAUUGACGGGGGCCCGCACAAGCGGUGGAGCAUGUGGUUCAAUUCGACGCAACGCGCAGAACCUUACCUGGGUUAAAUCCACUCGAACCUCGCAGAGAUGUGGGGGUGCUCUUCGGAGAGCGAGUGAGAAGGUGCUGCACGGCCGUCGACAACU
rnacentral:rRNA from 1 species